rnacentral:misc_RNA from 1 species
AAGUCGUAACAAGGUUUCCGUAGGUGAACCUGCGGAAGGAUCAUCAACAAAAUAUAAGCUAGCAAUAGCCUUAUAAACCAUUUGUGUAAACAAAUAUAAAAAUUAAUAUAAUAAACUUUUAACAAUGGAUCUCUUGGCUCUU